rnacentral:rRNA from 1 species
UUGUUCGGAAUUACUGGGCGUAAAGGGCUCGUAGGCGGCCAACUAAGUCGGAUGUGAAAUCCCCAGGCUUAACCUGGGAACUGCAUCCGAUACUGGAUGGCUUGAAUCCGGGAGAGGGAUGCGGAAUUCCAGGUGUAGCGGUGAAAUGCGUAGAUAUCUGGAGGAACACCGGUGGCGAAGGCGGCAUCCUGGACCGGCAUUGACGCUGAGGAGCGAAAGCCAGGGGAGCAAACGGG